rnacentral:rRNA from 1 species
GACGAACGCUGGCGGCGUGCCUAAUACAUGCAAGUCGAGCGGACUAACGGGAGCUUGCUCCCGUUAGUUAGCGGCGGACGGGUGAGUAACACGUUGGCAACCUACCUGUAAGACUGGGAUAACUUCGGGAAACCGGAGCUAAUACCGGAUGACAGAAAGGAACUCCUGUUCCUUUAUUGAAAGGUGGCCUCGGCCAUCAAGUACAGAUGGGAUCGCGGCGCAUUAGCUAGUUGGUGAGGUAACGGCUCACCAAGGCGACGAUGCGUAGCCGACCUGAGAGGGUGAGCGGCCACACUGGGACUGAGACACGGCCCAGACUCCUACGGGAGGCAGCAGUAGGGAAUCUUCCGCAAUGGACGAAAGUCUGACGGAGCAACGCCGCGUGAGCGAUGAAGGCCUUCGGGUCGUAAAGCUCUGUUGUUAGGGAAGAAUAAGUGCUAGUUGAAUAAGCUGGCACCUUGACGGUACCUAACCAGAAAGCCACGGCUAACUACGUGCCAGCCGCCGCGGUAACAC